UACGGGGGGGGCAAGCGUUGUUCGGAAUUACUGGGCGUAAAGGGCGCGUAGGCGGCCUGCUAAGUCACACGUGAAAUCCCUCGGCUCAACCGGGGAACUGCGUGUGAUACUGGCGGGCUUGAAUUCGGGAGAGGGAUGUGGAAUUCCAGGUGUAGCGGUGAAAUGCGUAGAUAUCUGGAGGAACACCGGUGGCGAAGGCGGCAUCCUGGACCGAGAUUGACGCUGAGGCGCGAAAGCUAGGGGAGCAA
rnacentral:rRNA from 1 species